rnacentral:rRNA from 1 species
AGCAAACAGGAUUAGAUACCCUGAUAGUCCACGCUGUAAACGGUGUCGAUUUAGAGGUUGUGGUCUUGAACCGUGGCUUCUGGAGCUAACGCGUUAAAUCGACCGCCUGGGGAGUACGGCCGCAAGGUUAAAACUCAAAUGAAUUGACGGGGGCCCGCACAAGCGGUGGAGCAUGUGGUUUAAUUCGAUGCAACGCGAAGAACCUUACCUACUCUUGACAUCCAGCGAAUCCUUUAGAGAUAGAGGAGUGCCUUCGGGAACGCUGAGACAGGUGCUGCAUGGCUGUCGUCAGCUCGUGUUGUGAAAUGUUGGGUUAAGUCCCGCAACGAGCGCAACCCUUAUCCUUUGUUGCCAGCACGUAAUGGUGGGAACUCAAAGGAGACUGCCGGUGAUAAACCGGAGGAAGGUGGGGAUGACGUCAAGUCAUCAUGGCCCUUACGAGUAGGGCUACACACGUGCUACAAUGGCAGAUACAAAGAGAAGCGACCUCGCGAGAGCAAGCGGAACUCAUAAAGUCUGUCGUGGUCCGGAUUGGAGUCUGCAACUCGACUCCAUGAAGUCGGAAUCGCUAGUAAUCGUAGAUCAGAAUGCUACGGUGAAUACGUUCCCGGGC